rnacentral:rRNA from 1 species
UACGUAGGGGGCAAGCGUUGUUCGGAAUUACUGGGCGUAAAGGGCGCGUAGGCGGCACGGCAAGUCAGGAGUGAAAGGCCUGGGCUCAACCGAGGAACUGCUUUUGAGACUGCCGAGCUAGAGUGCAGAAGGGGCAACUGGAAUUCCCAGUGUAGCGGUGAAAUGCGUAGAUAUCCGGAGGAACACCGGUGGCGAAGGCGGCUUCCUGGACCGACACUGACGCUGAGGCGCGAAAGCUAGGGGAGCAAACGGG